rnacentral:rRNA from 1 species
CCUACGGGUGGCAGCAGUGGGGGAUAUUGCACAAUGGGGGAAACCCUGAUGCAGCGACGCCGCGUGGGUGAAGAAGCGCCUCGGCGCGUAAAGCCCUGUCAGCAGGGAAGAAAAUGACGGUACCUGAAGAAGAAGCCCCGGCUAACUACGUGCCAGCAGCCGCGGUAAUACGUAGGGGGCAAGCGUUAUCCGGAUUUACUGGGUGUAAAGGGGGCGCAGACGGCGAUGCAAGCCAGGAGUGAAAGCCCGGGGCCCAACCCCGGGACUGCCCGUGGAACUGCGUGGCUAGAGUGCAGGAGGGGCAGGCGGAAUUCCUGGUGUAGCGGUGAAAUGCGUAGAUAUCAGGAGGAACACCGGUGGCGAAGGCGGGCUGCUGGACUGCAACUGACGUUGAGGCCCGAAGGCGUGGGGAGCAAACAGGAUUAGAUACCCCUGUAGUC